UACGUAGGGGGCAAGCGUUGUCCGGAAUCACUGGGCUUAAAGCGUGUGUAGGCGGAUCGGUAAGUACCUUGUGAAAUCCCACAGCUUAACUGUGGAACUGCUUGGUAUACUGCCAGUCUUGAGCCACUUAGGGGCUACCGGAACAAAUGGUGGAGCGGUGAAAUGCGUAGAUAUCAUUUGGAACGCCAAUGGUGAAAACAGGUAGCUGGGAGUGUGCUGACGCUGAGACACGAAAGCCAGGGGAGCAAACGGG
rnacentral:rRNA from 1 species